AAGAUGGAGGAGCAUGGGAAACUGAAAAGUGCUUGGAUGUAGAUGGACAGGAUAAAAUAGAGAAACAGGAAUAUUGGUAAACUAUUUUAAAAGUUUGAAACCUGAGUAUUUCUAACCUUCCACGCAGUGAUAGAACGCAUAGGAGUGCGCAUGCGCAUAUGAGGUCUUAGGACGUAGGUGUACGCUCCCAAGUAUGGAAUAAAAUAGACAAAGCGAGUAAAUGCACCUGCUAAAUGUUGUUCCUUAGAAAGUGGUAAGGAAGGAAAUGUAAAGAGUUUCUGGAUGCGAUACGAGGCUACCUGAGAAGGGACAAAUCCUUGGUGCCGCGUGUGAUUAAGUUCUUUUCACAGAGUCACGGAACCCGAAUCAAACGAAAGAAAAGAAAAAAAAAGAAGAGAAGAGUAAGAGAGAGAGAGAGAAAGCAAGAUCGAGACGUAGCAAAGAAAGAUGCAGGGCUUGGGUUCCUCGGGAGAGGUAUUGUGCACAUUCUCCGAGACAAAAGCAGAGGGCACGGUGCGGUGUGGGACAGGGUAUCGGGUGAUGGUUGGCCAGACCUGGCCUGACGAUGGUUAGGCCGGGAUGAGAAGCAGAGGGCAAAAGGGAAACGCACAGACAUUCAUCGCGGUGCAGGGCGCUCCAGGGCGGGCAAGUAAACGGAUUCGCCUGAAUGUAGGAAACUACCUGAAUACCUUCGUCAGCCCUCUCUCUUGUCCCGACCGUUCCGUCUUUCUAAACUAUCGUACACACGAAUAUGAAUCUCAUUUCUUCUUUUUUUUGCACCAGCCAAGAUAUUCUGUAAAUUCCUUAGUAAACGUAGACAUUGAAAUUCCUUGGCAAUUUGGGAUGCAGAAACCUUUUGGGUUGUUAGUGACUAUGGCGUCAUUCUAGUAUGAUACUUAAGGGUUAAAUCCCAGGGACCAAAACCGACAUUUAGUUCUGUCAUUCAGAAUCAAAAAGGUUGGACAGUGUAUAGCGGUAUCAGGCUUCUCGGAACGAACUCAAUACCGAGAGUUUUCGAGGUUGUUUGAAAAGGGACAAUCUAGAAGGAUGCCUUGAGGGAUAAAGGGGCGUGGUAGCGCAGGACAAGGAAAAAAAUGUAUAAAAAAAGCUGUCUAUGUAAAAAUCUUUGGUUGAAAAUCUGAAAACUGUGCAACAAGUUUAAUAUUAAA